CUCAGAAAAGCAGUGGCCCAGCAGAAAGACUUGAACCCCUUGGGGAUGAAGUGGGACUUCCCUUUGAGAACCCCAGGGGUCCCCCGAGUAAGAGGUUCGGAUGGAUCCUCAGCCAGUUAACCCCAAGUCUUUAGCCUGAAAACACAGGGAAUAGGCUCUUCGGUCGGCACAGUACACCUCAGUACACCAACACUUGCAGGUGACUCCACCAUGCUUUCCGGGUGUGCAGUGUGUGCAGGGACGGGCACUCUGGGGACAGACGUGGUUCUGUCCCCUCCCUGUAGGAGCCGUGGGUUUUCAGUCCCUGGACUCCUUGCAGACAUAUCCCGGGCACCGCACCCUGGGCAGGGUCUCAGACGGCUGUGCCUCGACCUUGGUGGGCCAGCUGACCAGUGACACCUGCUCCGCCACCACCCUGGCGGGGACGCUAAGAAGGAGCCUGCAUGAAGAGACCUGGUCACUUGGUGACCGGAGAGCCCAGAGGGACGCAGAAGAGGGAACCGGGCAGACGGGAGCAUCACAGGACACCACAUAUUCUAGCCACGGUUCAACACCAACAGCUGCUCCGUAACUAGGGAAGUGUUCUCCACAGGAGUGACUCUGCCCUCGGGGCCUUCCCAGGGUCUGGAGACACUCUCCUCACGACCGUGGGGGACCGUGGACAGUCCUGUCCGGGGACACCCCGCAGCGCCACUGUGGGGGAUUAUUCAGCUCCAAACGUCCGUGAUGUUGAGAGGAGAAGCCCUGAUCCGAUCCAGGAGUGUGGCUUCUCUGUGCCGCCCUGUCAGGGACCACAGCGCUGGGGCCACCUCGCGGGACAGGCCACACAACUCCCUGAGCCUCUCUGGUCCCUGUGGACUUCGGCCAGCUGUUUACUGUCCCAGAGUUUCAUUUGUUAAUCGAUAACAUGGGUGUAAGAUGAGCUCCCUUGCACAAUGUGAUGCCACACACACGAAAGCUCUCUGCAGACAGAAGGAAAGCUGUCAGGUGUUCCGGUGGAGUCCCAGGGUCCACCCACCCUCCCGCCCACGGGCUGUGGGAGGGCCCCUCCAGCUCACUUCCGGCAAAUGAAGAGCAGGCGAGCUGAGGUCCGCUGACUGCUGUGCCGUGGUGAGGAGCAGGCCCGGUAUCACCGCGCUGCCUGGCCAGCAAGUGGAGCGGCCCAAGCCUGACCAAAGGCGGAGCCACGCCGCUCCAAGUCCACGGUGGGAUCCUUCCGGCUGCCAGCAGCUCAAGCUAAGGUCCCGCGCACCUGGCUGUCAAGCUUCCCCGGCGUGCCCCAGGACACCGCACGGAACCCCCCACUGGGAAAUGCGUUUCCCCUUCAAGCUUCCAGCCUCAGAUUUGCUCCUCCUCAGACAAACAUACUUCUUAAACUUUAAGAAAAACAAGACUCUCUCGCCAGAAAACUCCAGCCCUUCCUCCUCUGACUGCUCUUCCCGCCCGUCCACUGCCUGUUCUCCAGGCAGGAAGGAGCCUGGACGCCGCCCAGGGAGUUCGCGCGCUCCCCUCCCACCCCCACUUGGCAUUUUCUCCACCGCACACGGGUACAAACCACCACGGAUUAUUUUGACAGGUAAACAAUCAAAAAGACCAAGAACUACCUCGUGCCUCCUGUCUUCACGCUUACGUCCACAGAGCUGCAUGUUUCCUACCCAGACCCCUGACCCUCUCCCACCGGGCCACCUCUGCAUGGCUCCAAGCGCAAGUCUAAGCUCUUCCCCGCACGGGAAUCUAAGGGUGCCAAAGGAAACACACGCACACACGCACACGCAACACGACUAGGCCACUCGGCUUCCUCUGGUACACUCCUUGCUGCAUUAGCUCAUCCUGCUGGGGCUUCCUAACCCCGGUAAGCUCACUUCCGGGUGUGCCUGGUAGUGAUGAUGGGGUGCUCAGCUCUGUGCAGAGACAAGCCAAGUACCCCGCUCCCUGGGUGCACCCGGUAAGUAUGUGGUGAAACAGAUGAGGCAUUUUGUUGUUUUAUGACCAGACACAGCAUGCCACUGUGCAGUCUCUUUAAACGUGAAAUUAUGCUAUGAGUCCCUCCUGGUCACAACAUCACGGGCUCUGGAAAUUUCUAAUACUUGGUUUACGUAACUAGAGGCAAAGCUGAGGGUCUCCCACUAAAACUGAAGUUCAAAUCCACCAGGUGGAGACUUCAACAGGUAAAUUGCCUAGAAAAGCAUUUAAGGCACAGAGACAAAUGCAACAUUCAGUGAGGGCAGUUCAGUGUUUGUAGGAUGCCUACUUUAGGAAAAUGUAUUGUAUUGCCGGGGUACUGACCUAUGAAUGAAUCACGAAGCAGGUGAGCUUGGGGACCUGUGAUACCAGGUAAACUCCGUGCCAAGAGCCCUUCUCCGUGUGUCCCACUAUGUUCUCUCAGGCCCCUCAACUCUGAAAGCCUCUGACCCUGCUCAUAAGAUAUGGGUUACAGCAUUUGAUUGACAGUUCAAUAGAAACAUGAGACACUACCAAAGUAGGGCAGUUAUCAUUACUAACAGAGUAAUGCAAAUGAUGGGGAAUGUACUGUACAAGAUUGGCAUUGGUAAAUUCCUAACACGUGGCUUCAAAUAAAAUUUUUGUUCCAAAUCUGAAA